rnacentral:rRNA from 1 species
UACGUAGGGUGCAAGCGUUAAUCGGAAUUACUGGGCGUAAAGCGUGCGCAGGCGGUUUUGCAAGACAGAUGUGAAAUCCCCGGGCUUAACCUGGGAAUUGCAUUUGUGACUGUACGGCUAGAGUGUGUCAGAGGGGGGUAGAAUUCCACGUGUAGCAGUGAAAUGCGUAGAGAUGUGGAGGAAUACCGAUGGCGAAGGCAGCCCCCUGGGAUAACACUGACGCUCAUGCACGAAAGCGUGGGGAGCAAACAGG